rnacentral:rRNA from 1 species
AACACGUAAUUCAUUACGAAGUUUAAUUCAUUGAGCAUCAAACUUUUAAAUUGAAGAGUUUGAUCAUGGCUCAGAUUGAACGCUGGCGGCAGGCCUAACACAUGCAAGUCGAACGGUAACAGGAAGCAGCUUGCUGCUUUGCUGACGAGUGGCGGACGGGUGAGUAAUGUCUGGGAAACUGCCUGAUGGAGGGGGAUAACUACUGGAAACGGUGGCUAAUACCGCAUAACGUCGCAAGACCAAAGAGGGGGACCUUCGGGCCUCUUGCCAUCAGAUGUGCCCAGAUGGGAUUAGCUUGUUGGUGAGGUAACGGCUCACCAAGGCGACGAUCCCUAGCUGGUCUGAGAGGAUGACCAGCCACACUGGAACUGAGACACGGUCCAGACUCCUACGGGAGGCAGCAGUGGGGAAUAUUGCACAAUGGGCGCAAGCCUGAUGCAGCCAUGCCGCGUGUAUGAAGAAGGCCUUCGGGUUGUAAAGUACUUUCAGCGGGGAGGAAGGUGUUGUGGUUAAUAACCGCAGCAAUUGACGUUACCCGCAGAAGAAGCACCGGCUAACUCCGUGCCAGCAGCCGCGGUAAUACGGAGGGUGCAAGCGUUAAUCGGAAUUACUGGGCGUAAAGCGCACGCAGGCGGUCUGUCAAGUCGGAUGUGAAAUCCCCGGGCUCAACCUGGGAACUGCAUUCGAAACUGGCAGGCUUGAGUCUUGUAGAGGGGGGNNNNNNNNNNNNNNNNNNNNGAAAUGCGUAGAGAUCUGGAGGAAUACCGGUGGCGAAGGCGGCCCCCUGGACAAAGACUGACGCUCAGGUGCGAAAGCGUGGGGAGCAAACAGGAUUAGAUACCCUGGUAGUCCACGCCGUAAACGAUGUCUACUUGGAGGUUGUGCCCUUGAGGCGUGGCUUCCGGAGCUAACGCGUUAAGUAGACCGCCUGGGGAGUACGGCCGCAAGGUUAAAACUCAAAUGAAUUGACGGGGGCCCGCACAAGCGGUGGAGCAUGUGGUUUAAUUCGAUGCAACGCGAAGAACCUUACCUGGUCUUGACAUCCACGGAAGUUUUCAGAGAUGAGAAUGUGCCUUCGGGAACCGUGAGACAGGUGCUGCAUGGCUGUCGUCAGCUCGUGUUGUGAAAUGUUGGGUUAAGUCCCGCAACGAGCGCAACCCUUAUCCUUUGUUGCCAGCGGUCCGGCCGGGAACUCAAAGGAGACUGCCAGUGAUAAACUGGAGGAAGGUGGGGAUGACGUCAAGUCAUCAUGGCCCUUACGACCAGGGCUACACACGUGCUACAAUGGCGCAUACAAAGAGAAGCGACCUCGCGAGAGCAAGCGGACCUCAUAAAGUGCGUCGUAGUCCGGAUUGGAGUCUGCAACUCGACUCCAUGAAGUCGGAAUCGCUAGUAAUCGUGGAUCAGAAUGCCACGGUGAAUACGUUCCCGGGCCUUGUACACACCGCCCGUCACACCAUGGGAGUGGGUUGCAAAAGAAGUAGGUAGCUUAACCUUCGGGAGGGCGCUUACCACUUUGUGAUUCAUGACUGGGGUGAAGUCGUAACAAGGUAACCGUAGGGGAACCUGCGGUUGGAUCACCUCCUUACCUUAAAGAAGCGUACUUUGCAGUGCUCACACAGAUUGUCUGAUGAAAA